CUUAUGGAAUUGUAAGAGCACCGCUUAAGCACCAACAACUUUUGCGUCGAAUAAAGUCCAACAUGAGAUUGUGUGAGUUAAUCAUUUUACAUCCUUAAGCCCCAACAUGCGCCAAGUUGGGUGGUACCAUACGGAAGUUGUUUUGAAGAGUUAUGAUGUAGUCUGGUGGUGAUGUAGAAGUGAUAUUCAGGAGAUAGUCAAAGAUUUUUGGUGGAUUAUGAGAUUUUAGGUCUAGUUGAGCAUGGUGAUUAUUAUAUUGGUGGAUAAACAUAUCUUUAAUUAAUCUUGGAACAAUUUGGAUUUAGUUAGGUGAUUGUGAGCUUGAACUAAAUUUCACGAUGGGUAAAUAACUUCAGUAGUACAUAUAAAAAGAUCCAUAGUCCGUCAAUAGAACUUGGUGGUUUAUAUUGGAUUUAGAUACCAAUGAAUUUGGAGUUUAUUUAAAUCAUGGUUAUGAUGCUGGUGGAUUGCUUUGUGUUAAAUUCACACUUUUGGAGAUUGCUGAAGUUUGAGAACUUUAGGGUGUAGUAUGAUCAACCUUGGCUAUGUAUCAGAUUUAUAUAGGUUAGAUGAGAGUUUGUAGCAUCAAUCAUGAUUAUGAUAAUUGGUGGAUUAUUGGAGCAUCUGGGAUUGGAUUAGUAGUAAGGAAACACGGAUUUUGAAGUAACAUAGCUUGUGUUUUCUUUAGGCUAGAUGGGACUUAGCAACAUCAAUCAUGAUUAUGGAAAUGGUGGAUUAUUGGAGCAUCUGGCAUUGGAUUAGUAGUAAGGAAACAAGGAUCUUGGAGUAGCACAACUUGUGAUUCCUUUAGGUUAAAUGAUAUAACUACUUGGAUUCUAGGAUGGAGAUAACUUUGGCACUCGGAUUUGUGAUGUUUUGAUCUAAGCUUAGUAGCUUGCAUGUGCCCCAUAUGGAUAUAAUCAUGAAUACGAUACAUGUGGAUCAAAGUUGUUAGACGUAGGUGAUUUUGGUGUCCCUCCCCAAGAAUGUUAGCAGUACAAGAUCAUCAUGGGAGGAUGGUUUGGAUUAAUUUGGAGGAAAGGUAACUUAACCUGUUUGCAAUGCCGACAAACCUGACUGUCUAAAGACACACCUCUAGAGACAUAUCCAAUAAGGCAACUUCGAGCGAAGGAUGACAGACGAGAGCCACAUGAGUGACCAAGACAAUGAUGCCACAAAGAGUCGGUAGAUGAGGAGAGACGGGGAGACUGGUGACGGUGUCAUUAGAGGGAAGGUGAAGCCAGUCAAGCUCCUAGAGGGCCUGGGAGUUACAGCGUCGAGGGCCCACAACAAGUAGAUCAUCCCUGUGAGGAUCCUAAUCGGAACAAGAGUUAAAGUUAAGAAUGACCCUACAACCAGAGUCAACAAUCUAACCACCUGAAAUGAGCUGCAUGGAUCGAGGAACAUGAGCAAAACUAGGAACAUGAAAAGACGAAGUGCUAAGGGUGUCAACUAUCGACUGUGAGGGAAGUUCCUAAGAACAUGAACAUGAGAAUCUGGAUGUCGAAUGGCCGACAAACUGGAAGAACUAGACGAUGAAGCACCAGGUUGUGAACCUAGAAGUGGGUGUUGAAGUCGUGCAAUUUUUGUUCCUCGUCGAUCUGGCUUGGCGUCCUCCCCUUGUAUGCGGGUUAUGUGUCACGGACUUGAUGUCGCAUUCUACGUUCCCUUGUUGGGGGCCCUUGGCCCCGGCGACAGGUAACGUCGUGCACACAUCAUGUGGGUUAGACAUUACGGUGCCGACUGCCCUUGCUCCUGCUCCGCCGAUAGGUGGUGCCCGAGCGUUUGGCUAUGGCGGCGCCCAGCAGGGGAAGAUGGGUUGUGGGAUCGAGGCAGCACACAAAGCAACUUGUAGCCAAGCAAAGGAUGCCCAACCGGCCUGGCAUGGAGCGGAGAGUGCACGAGGGGUGUGGGGUAAGCGGUGAAAAUGUCGUCGGGGGCAGACUGCCGCCGUCGUCAGAUUUUGACCUGGAGUCGAACGGUGAGGGGAUGAUGAUAGGGAAAGCGAGGAAGGCAGGAAGAGGGCACUUGGAGGAGAAACGCAUCAUCCACCCUAUGCCCGUGCUUCAGCCGCGAUGGUGGACGGUUGUGGGGAAAUCCGAGGUUUGCACGUGGAUCUACUACUCGGGAUGUCAUGACAUGGUUUUUGUGCAGUGAGGUGCCACAACUAUUGUGUUGUGUGGGUGAGUUUGGAGAGAUAGAAGUCGUGUUGCACUCUAGUCUAGGCCUUCAACUGUACCAAGUGCAACUUAUUUAGAGUUUCUGUUCUCUCAAGCUUAAGGCUGUCUCUGAACCAAAUCUAGCCCAAGAAACCCAACCUAGCUAUAAAAGUUAUGAUAGCAUGGACUUAUAUCAAAGUGCUUAACUUAUGGAAUUGUAAGAGCACCGCUUAAGCACCAACAACUUUUGCCUCGAAUAAAGUCCAACAUGAGAUUGUGUGAGUUAAUCAUUUUACAUCCUUAAGCCCCAACAUGCGCCAAGUUGGGUGGUGCCAUACGGAAGUUGUUUUGAAGAGUUAUGAUGUAGUCUGGUGGUGAUGUAGAAGUGAUAUUCAGGAGAUACUCAAAGUUUUUUGGUGGAUUAUGAGAUUUUAGGUCUAGUUGAGCAUGGUGAUUAUUAUAUUGAUGGAUAAACAUAUCUUUAAUUAAUCUUGGAACAAUUUGGAUUUAGUUAGGUGAUUGUGAGCUUGAACUAAAUUUCACGAUGGAUAAAUAACUUCAGUAGUACAUAUAAAAAGAUCCAUAGUCCGUCAAUAGAACUUGGUGGUUUAUAUUGGAUUUAGAUACCAAUGAAUUUGGAGUUUAUUUAAAUCAUGGUUAUGGUGUUGGUGGAUUGCUUUGUGUUAAAUUCACACUUUUGGAGAUUGCUAAAGUUGGAGAACUUUAGGGUGUAGUAUGAUCAACCGUGGAUAUAUAUCAGAUUUAUAUAGGUUAGAUGAGAGUUUACAGCAUCAAUCAUGAUUAUGAUAAUUGGUGGAUUAUUGGAGCAUCUGGGAUUGGAUUAGUAGUAAGGAAACAAGGAUCUUGGAGUAGCACAACUUGUGUUUCCUUUAGGUCAAAUGAUAUAGCUACUUGGAUUCUAGGAUGGAGAUAACUUUGGCACUCGGAUUUGUGAUGUUUUGAUCUAAGCUUAGUAGCUUGCAUGUGCCCCAUAUGGAUAUAAUCAUGAAUAUGAUACAUGUGGUCAGUGUUGUUAGACGUAGAUGAUUUUGGUGUCCCUCCCCAAGAGUGUUAUGAGUACAAAAUCAUCAUGGGAGGAUGGUUUGGAUUAAUUCGAAGAGAUGGCAAUUUUAAUGGUAUAUGAUAACCUUGUGGGAGUUGCUCCAUGUGAGCCUCAUAGCAAUUGGUAUCAGAGAAAGUUUAUGUGUUUUAUGGCAACCUUAAGUCUCACCAAGCCAUGACUUGGUCGAGUCAUGAUAACAGAGCUGGAUAUGUAGUAAGGAUAUGGCCCUUGGACUUACCCUUAUACUCCACCUAUUUGAUGAACAUCAUGACCAUGUUUAUGAAUUCUUGGACUAGUUUGUGGUUAUCAUCAUUGAUGACCUCUUGGUCUAUUCUCCUUCUGAGGAAGGUCAUAAGCAACACCUGAGAAUGAUUUUGGAUAACUUAAAGAGCCCCAGUUAUAUACCAAGUUCAAGAAGUAUGAAAUUUGGCUAAAAGAAGUAGGGUUCCGAGGACAUGUUUUUUCCAUGGAAGGUAUGUCAAUAGACCCAUCAAGGAUAGAAUUUGUAACCAACUUUUAGGCGAAACAAAUGUGAAGUCGGAAGUUCCAUCGGACUUGAGAGUUAUUAUCGCAAAUUUGUGAAGACUUUCAAGCAUCGCCGAUGACUUAACUCUUGAAGAAAGAUAAGAAGUUUGAAUGAAGGCCCAAGUGUGAAGUGAGCUUUCAAGAGUUUAAGAAGAGGUUAACCACUGAUCCGUCCUUAGCCACCCUAGAUAUUUAUACGAGUUUUGAAGUUAUUGUGAUGCAUCUAAGCAUGGACUCCAUUCCGUCUUGAUGCAAGAAGGAAUCUUCGUAGCCUAUCUAUCAAGGCAACUAUGGCCUCACGAAGAGAACUGCCCCAUGAUUUGGAAAUAGCACCAGUAGUGCAUGCUAUAAGUAUGUCUUCUUCUAGAUGAUCAACCACUAUGACGUUGAUAUCCAUUACCAUCCCGAUAAGGCCAAUUGGCAGUGGAUACCCUCAGCAGGAAGUCGUGUCCCUGUUCUGCCUUGACCAAGCGGAGCAACUAGUGCUACAUGACGGCUUCGAGAAGUUUGGUGUAAACUUGAUCAACCACUAUGACGUUGAUAUCCAUUACCACCCUGAUAAGGCCAAUGUCGCAGUGGAUACCCUUAGCAGGAAGUCGUGUCCCUGUUCUGCCUUGACCAAGUGGAGCAAUUAGUGCUACAUGAAGGCUUCGAGAAGUUUGGUGUAGAGCUAGUCAAUAGUGUCUAUCUCGCUAAAUUCAAGAUUAGACCCACUCUUAGGAUGAAUCAAGAAGUAUAGAAGAAAUCAAUGAAAUGAUCAAGCAUGGGAAAGCCUUGCAUUCUCAGAAGACAAGCAAUGUGUUAUUUGGUUUGGAGGUCGCAUCUGCAUACCUAACCAAGAAGGUUUGAAGAAGUGGAAUCUACAAGCAGCACGCCGUCAUCGAUGAACCAGAGACCCUGGCGCAUGGCGGAGCUGUAUCGUGUGGCGCUCUUGCUGUCUCGGAAGAUGUCUGAAGCUAAGUGUGAAGCAUGUAUGCAUGAGUUUUUUCUAGAACAAGAAGGAAGGAGUAGGUUUCGCAUAUUUUCGGGAUAUGCGACAGCCCGUCGGGCAACGCGGUCACACUCGCGUGAACCCGCAUGCACAAAGUUGUUGCCUGUGGGAGAAUUAGCGAGUUUUUUGCGGGGUGGACUAGCGACUUAGCUGGCAGUCCUAUCCCACUUGCACCCUUACCAAUGUCGAAUUAAGGCCAUGACUCUAUUAGGGUCAUAAUUGACCAUUGCCUAAGCUUGCCAUCCUCAACCCAUUACUUAACACCAAAGACAUUUGCAAGCCAACUAGCAGAUAACUACCUCUUCCAGAUUUGAAGUCCCCACAAAGUUCCCAAGAAGGUUGUUGCAAAUAAAGGUACAAAGUUGACCUCCAAACCUGGAAGAGAUUCCAAGAAGCUUUUAAAAUCAAGUCAUCCAUCAAACGGGGCCUCUGCAAAGAAAACCACACACCGACCCCCACCCCUAACCAACUUACUGCGAGAUCUCAAUUAUUGUCCUUGCUAAAGCUAUAUGUCAGAAGUUAUGCCAUCGAGUGCCUCGGUUGAGUGAAGCAAUCUCAUUGAAGAGCAAGCAACUUGAAGUGAAGACUGUCGUUGAGCGAUCUUUCUAAGCAACCUCGCCCUGUGUUUUGUAUCACAUCACUUAAGAUAAUGUAGAUCAAAAUUUUGGACCCAACUUUUAAAAUAUCGAUCACGGGGGAGUAUAUACCAUCCGGUGGAUUCUAUACUAGCAUCAUUCUUAAGGAAAGUUAUGUCUGAUUGUUCAAAUUGUAUACGCCUAACACUAAAAUACAUUCAAGAUGCAAAGGCCGACAUAUUUAACUUUACCAGGUGCAACUUAGUCAGAGUUUCUCCUCACUCAAGCUUAAGCCUUUGUCUAAACCAAACCUAGCCCAAGAAAACCCAACCUAGCUAUCAAGGUUGUGAUAGGACAGACUUAUAUCAAUGUGCUUAACUUACGGAAUUGCAAGAGCACCGCUUAAGCACCAACAACUAUUGCUUGAAAUAAAGCCCAACAUGAGAUAGUGAUUGUAUGAGUCAAUCAUGUUACAUCCUUAAGGCCGCAACACACACCUAGUUGGGUGGUGUCAUACUUAAGUUGUUUUGAGGAGUUAUGCUUGGAAAAUGAGAUAGUUUGUUGGUAAUGUAGAUGUGAUCUUGGGAAGAUAGUCAAAGAUGUUCGGUGGAUUAUGAGAUUUUAGGUAUAGUAGUAGAGCAUGGUGAUUAUUAUAUUUGUGAAUAACAAUAUCUUUAAUUAAUCUUGAAACAAUUUGGAUUUAGUUAGGUGAUUGUGAAUUUGUGAUUUUGAACCAAAUUUCAUGGUGGAUUACGAGAUUUUAGUUGGAUUUAGUUAGGUGAUUGUGAUCUCGAGAAGAUAGUCAAACUUGUUCGGUGGAUUAUGAGAUAUUAGGUCUAAUAGGUGAGCAUGAUGAUUAUUACAUUGGUGGAUAAAAAGAUCUUGAAUUAAUCUUUGAACAAUUUGGAUUUAGUUUGUGAGAUUGACCUUGGACCAAAUUUCAUGGAGAAUUAUGAGAUUUUAGGUGGAUUUAAUUUGGUGAUUGUGAUCUUCAGAAGAUAGUCAAAGAUGUUUAGUGGAUUAUAAGAUUUUAGGUCUAGUAGGCAAGGAUGAUGAUUAUUAUAUUAGUGAAUAAAUAGAUCUUCAAUUAAUCUUGGACAAUUUGGAUUUAGUUAGGUGAUUGUAAUUUUGACCCAAAUUUCAUGGUAGAUUAUGAGAUUUCAGGUAGAUUUUAGUUCAUAUGAUUUUUGAGGAGGUAGUCAAAGAUGUUCGGUGGAUUAUGAGAUUUUAGGUUUAGUAGGUGAGCAUGAUGAUUAUUGCACUGGUGAUCUUUAAUUAAUCUUGGAACAAUUUGGGCUGAGCUUUGAAGCGGCAGGAAGCACAGUCGCACAAUAGGCGCUUAACACUUGAGGAUCUCGAAGAUUCAUGGGAUAGAGACAUAACACUAUUCCAAAAAGACCGCCACACUUUGGCCUAUGACUUUAAGCAGUAUGAAGUGCUGAAACAGAACCCAUUAUGGUGUGACAUGAUGGAAAGCUAUGGAGUCUGAACAACUACAGAACUGACAUCAUCCAAACACUUGGUGGUGUGGAAGGUAUCCUGGAACAUACCUUAUUUAAGGGAACAUACUACUGUAUUUCCCUACUUGGGAGGGUUUGUUUUGGGAGAAGGCUUCAGGUUUUGAGGAAUCAAUCAAGUACAAAAAGCUGACAAAUGCACAGCGUUCUGGGCCUAAUCAAAUCCCCAACAGAAGAUUUACCCUAUGGUGGGCGCCAACCAUGCAUUAAUCGUGCACACGUAUAUGUUGGUUUCCACUUUCCAGGUUCAGCUAGAAUAUUAACUGGUUCCUUGGCCCGGGUCAAAGCCCCUCCUCCAACAAGCAAUGAACAAGAUCAUGAAGCCAAAUCCUGCUAUGUAUGUGCUGAGGGAGAGAAUAAGAAAGGGUCUUCAGUUGUAUUCAUCUGAACCCACCGAGCCAUAUCUGUCUUAACAGAACUACGGAGGAAUAUUCAGAAAUCAAAUCAUACGUUUUGUGGAUGACAAAUGUCUAUCGAGUUACCAUUGACAAAACCUUCGAGGGUAACCCGACCAAACCAAUCAAUGGUGCCAUCUUUAUUUUCAAUCCAAGAACUGGUCAACCAACUAUUUCUGAAGGUCAUCCACACAAGUGUAUGGGCAGGACAAAAGCGUCUAGUUUCUCAGCAUAGUAAUCGUGCCAGUUUUCCUCAUUCUUGGAUUUAAUUGAAUUUGCAUAUCCAUUCCGCCACAGCAUGGAACUCACCGGCCAGAUGGUGACUUUGCCAGCGAAUCUCCCAGAGCAUGAGUUCCUUGCUGACUUGGAGCCGUUGGGACCCAGUCGAAUGAAGCUCCUCAGCUAUCACCUCAGGAUUUGACAUGACAUGCUAAUAUUUUGGAGAAAAACAAGCAGUAGGAUGGUAAGAAGUGCACCAUUUUAACCUGUCGGUGAACAUCUUGGAUCGGUGGUUAUGUUUGGGAGAAGAAGAAAACCUAUCGUGUAUUUGUGUGGGAUUAUAAUAUCUGAAGCUCUCGACAUGUGGAGAAAAAGGAGGCCCCUGCUUGGCAAGAAGCUAGCGCCUAUGGCGAAAGUCUAAAUUCAGAAUAUGCGGCUGGACUACUUGAGCCUUUUGCAUAGUUUUUUACUGGCAGUAGUUCAACAAUUUACAGAUAGCAUUUUAAGAAGAGUAUUUGUAUGUGUGCAUCUUCAGCCCUGUUUCUUCUCUUUUAUGUCAAUGCAAGAUCUUACACUUUUAAAUGAGGUAAUUGACGCAUGCUUUCCGAUUUCCUUAAGGAGGUUGAGGUAUGCAGUAUUUGUCAUCUCCGAGUUGAAACAAUGCCUUUCACUUAGCUGUAUUUGUUUGUCAGUAUGCUACGUGCUCAUUCAGAUUCUUGCUCAUCAAAGAAUCAUUCGAACCAAAUGCUGAAUCUUGAUAACGCCUUUUAGUUGUACUUACUUGUUCCAGGAUUUGUUCAUCUGUUGCAGCCAACAACUCUCUAAUAUCUUGUAUCAGGAUCUGUUGAUUACUUUUUUCAGGACUUGAUGUUCAAUUUGCCCAGUGUUACACGCUGCAAAAAUCUUCUCGUGACUGUAACUUGUUCUUAUGCAUUACUAUUCUUUUUAUCAAUUAGCUACCUGUUGCCUGCAGUUUAAAUUUUCCUUGGUGUUGGUGACUUGGAACGCAUCCAGUGAGUUUCUCAAGAGUCAUGAGCUCAAGUAUCCUGUAGGUGACUUGCAACUCUGGUUUGGCCUAGCAUUUAGUAAACUAAUUUUUUUUGAGUUAUUCCACCUACAGUCUGAGUCUGAGUCUCUUAGCAAGCCAAGCGAGAUGGUGUCAAGUCAGGCGGGGAACAGUUACUUGCUUUCUGACUGCUACUGCUGCACUGGUGUUGUCUCUGGUCGCUUCUUUGAUCCGGCGACGUAAAGGUUGUGUCUCUGUGUGUGUGCAGUAGCUGUACAUGGUCCGUGUAAGCCUUGGUGCUGUUACCCCAUGGCAUUGGUUGUCUUUGGUCAUGUGUGAUGCUGAAGCAAAGAACAAUGGUAUAUAUGUUCUAAAGCGACAACUUUUUAGAAGUGAUUA